ensembl:lncRNA
GGGGAAGCAUAACUCCAGCCAUAAACAAGUUAGUGAGGAACAAAAGGAUGUGCAGAGGGACCAUCUCUGGUCUAAAUCAUCAGCUGAGACUAAUUUAUACCACAGAGAGACUGACAUAUAUAUUCAAGCCAAGAAAGCCCAAUAAUUUAAAAGAAGAAAAAAAAUCCAAUCUGUUCCUGCUUGCAGGAGCACCUUUCUUAUCAGAGCAAUCCUUCAAAAUCCAGUAAUCACCAGCAAAGCCUGAAUUCGCUAUCGAUCCAGCUUCAGCCCUCACGUACCUUCUAUCAUCAGUAUCACACUGCCUUCAAAGGCCGCCAGGCCCCUCUUCCAAGCAGCAGCCCCCAUCUUGCUUUUGGCACCUGCAGCCCAGCGUGAAUCUCUGCUCCUGGUCGCUGUUAUCCACUGGCAUGGCCAUGCAGAGCGCUCCUGGGUGUAGGGGGACAGUCCCACAACCACAGAACCGCAGCAUGGUUGGGUGGGAAGGGAGCUCCGGUCCACCUGAUCCAAUCCCUACUCAAGCAAGGCCACCCAGAGCAGGGUGCCUACUGUGGCUGUGCGUAGGUAGGAGCCCAGGGUGUUGCAAUUGUAUAGACCUGGGCAGGUGCCUCACGGGCUAUCAUAAACAGAGAGGGACAAGGUAUUACAGAUGGGACGUCAGUGAAGGGCCAGGUCAGAAGCUCAUGUAACUCGUCAUCUGAUCUCCACCAGCAGCUGGCCACAGCUGCACAGGGAGCCCAGACGGUAGGGGCAGGUCUGAACUGCACCAGGGCUGAAAGGAACAUUCUGUGUUUGGGGCCAUUUCAUCCAAGAUUGGUUUCAGAAGCACUCAACUCCUUGGCUCCGCGUGCCAAAGAAGGCUUUCAUAAUCUUUCGUUAUCGAGCCUGGUUCCUCUCAUCAUUCAUUACAGCCCUCUGGGGUUUAUUCGGUAAUUGAUAAGCAAUGAACUUGCCCUUCCCUUGCCUUGUCUUGCCUUGCCUUGCUUUCCCCUCCCCUUCCCUCCCGCAGAACACCACCUUAACAGAGCCAUUAGCCCCACACAAUGCACUUGCAAACCUCACGCCAGGAAAUGCAGAGGGAAGGCUCGCAGGACAAUGUUAUCUCGGCCCCGGGCACAUAUGCGGCACUUUCCCAUUCGCACCUUUCAAGCCGACGAUCCCCGGCGCAGACAGCCGUCUGUCCGUCUGUCUGAGCACCCGGCGUAAGGCGGGGGCAGAGAGCAGCACCCCGCGGUUUCAGUAGCCCUUUAGGAACACCUCACUCGGAAGGAGGAAGCGGCCCCCUCUGCUUUUUUCUCCCCUUUCUCUUCCCCUGGGGCAGGGAGGAGCUGGGGGGAGCUGCGGGAGUUCGCUGCUUUGUCUCGCUGAGAGCUGCAGUGCCUCCCAGCCUUGUCCUGAGCACACAGCGUGCCGGCAUGAAGGUGCCGUGCCGAAGGAGGUUAGGAGCGCUGGAGAGGAAUAGCUGUAAUGGAAGUGGCAGUGUGAGCAGUCCUGGCAAGCGGGGUAAAUCCUCCGGUCUCUGGAUGAUUUGUUAAGUGUUUUGCAAAUAUAUAUACAUAUUGCAGAUAUAUGUUCUGUGUGUGCGAGUAACCAGUAACACGUGUAUGGCAGAUGGGACAGAUAACUACAUGGUUGUGGCUCUCCCGGGACGUUUACGUUCACAGAAAAAAGCCACUUGGGAUUUAUCCCUCUCACCUCACGCCCCAGCAUCACUUUAACCCCUCUAACGCUGCACUGUUACCAUUUAAGUCAUCACUGGGUCUGGCUCAGCCCCAGGGGAAGGGAAGCAGAAAUGCAGAGCAACGUUUCCCAGCUUCCUGAGCUCCAGAGAGGACCUCAACCUCCGUGAAAACAAACAAACACAUGAAAUGGACCUUCUUGUUUCCUAUUUUGCCAGUAGAGAGCACGAGGAGAAUAACUGCAGAAUCAUCGUAGAAUCACAGAAUCGCUGAAGUUGGAAAAGACCUCUAAGCUCACCCAGUCCAACCGGCAGCCCAUCACACCAUGCCCACUGCCCAUGGCCCUCAGUGCCACAUCCACACGGCUCUGGAACACCUCCAGGGACGGUGACUCCACCACCUUUAUGGGCAGACUGUGCCACUGCCUCACCACUCUUGCUGAGAAGGAAUGUUUGAACUCAGGAGGUGGGUCCUGGUCCCCUACUUCCAACCCAGCCAAACUCACAGGCACAUUUGCUGUGCUCGAAUGGAAAUCUACAUUUUAGCUUCCCAGUUAAUGGGUUUUGAGUUUAAAUAUUGAAAAUUGCAUUCUUACCAGCAGCAAGAAAUGCUUCAGGGAAGCGGUGGUAGCUUUGCUGGCCGUGUUCUUACGAAUCCAUCCAUGUGCAACAGGUGACAAACACCUGCCUGCAGUCUCCGUCCCUGGUGCAUCCCUGCAGCCUGCAGCUGGCUGUGCCGGUGGUGCGACCCCCUGCAGCCAGCCCCCAAAGGAGGUGCAAAGCCUGGUGAUCUCUGCACCUCUGGGCUAUGAAUGGGCACAGAGCAGUUUUGUUUCCAUCCUGGGAAUAGGGGGAUUAAAAUGACCCUAUCUCCUGGUUGCAUUUAUUUAUUUAUUUUUAACUUGGGCCCUAUGUAAACAGUACUCUAGUCAACAAACUGCUGUUAUUAAAAAUUGCUAAUUAAACGA